AUUUGUAAUCUGGCACCUUCGGUGUCCGAGUUGUAAUCUCUAGAAGUGUUUUCCGCGUUGGACCGCACACAAGUCUGUUGGAAUACAGCGGCAUAGUGGUGAUACCCCAUUACACGGUGCGGACGCCCAGCGCUUUGUGAUACACUUUCGACGAGUCGAGUUGUUUGGGAAUGCAGCUCAAAUUGGGUGGUAAAUUCCAUCUAAAGCUAAAUAUUGGCGAGAGACCGAUAGCGAACAAGUACCGUGAGGGAAAGAUGAAAAGCACUUUGGAAAGAGAGUUAAAAGUACGUGAAAUUGUUGGAAGGGAAACGCUUGAAGUCAGACUUGCUUGCCGGGCUUGCUCGGUUUGCAGGCCAGCAUCAGUUUUCUGGGACGGAUAAUGGCAGUUAGAAUGUAGCAGUCUCGGCUGUGUUAUAGCUUUCUGCUGGAUACGUCCUGGGGGACUGAGGAACGCAGCGUGCCGUAUGGCGAGGGCUUUGGUCCUUUCACGCUUAGGAUGCUGGUGGAAUGGCUUUAAACGACCCGUCUUGAA
rnacentral:rRNA from 1 species